rnacentral:rRNA from 1 species
UACGAAGGGGGCUAGCGUUGUUCGGAUUUACUGGGCGUAAAGCGCACGUAGGCGGAUCGUUAAGUCGGGGGUGAAAUCCUGGAGCUCAACUCCAGAACUGCCUUCGAUACUGGCGAUCUCGAGUCCGGAAGAGGUGAGUGGAACUCCUAGUGUAGAGGUGGAAUUCGUAGAGAUGUGGAGGAAUACCGAUGGCGAAGGCAGCCCCCUGGGCCAAUACUGACGCUCAUGCACGAAAGCGUGGGGAGCAAACAGG